rnacentral:tRNA from 1 species
AUUCAAGUAGCUUAAGAUAGAGCAUGACACUGAAGAUGUCAAAGUAAUUGUAUAAUUCUUGAAUG